rnacentral:lncRNA from 1 species
AAGGGUGCAGAACCGGUUAAAGAGAAACAAGCAUCAAGUGAGGAUAUGUGGCCAUUCUGUUGAGUUGAGUUGAUUAUAUUGGUAUGGAGAGAAGAGGAGUUGAAGAGGAGAAGAGAUGGAGAAGCUUAGGGGGUUUGGGUGUGAAUGGUACGGACGUCCGUACAAGGCCGUACAUGGCCGUACCGUCCGUACCAAAGGCCUCGACCAAAACUUACCCAACUCGACCAAGUGAAACGGUAACAAGGGAGGGUUACCUUGGGGACUUAAGGAGAAGGGAUUAGACCGUUGAGUGGACCCUUUAGGUGUUUGACAAGGUCAGGAGAUGGGUCUAGCGUGUGGUUCAGCAAGGCGUGAAGAGAAGGAAGAUAGAAGAAAUGAGUGGGGGUGGUUAGCCUUACCAUCCAAUCAUCCGGAAAGCAACCUUGACUCUACAUGCUUCAAUAGUGCCCAUUUCGCCUCUUGUAAACCCUAAUGUCUUCUAUAUAAAUAUGUAACCUCACUCAUUAAUAAGAUCAGCUAGUUCGAGUCUCUCUAAUCUCUUAGACUAUGGUUUUCUCUUAGACACUAAACGGCUCUUCCUAGUCUCUUAAUCUUUCACAAACUUCUCUUAAUCACUUCCUAAACACUCUCUUUACUCUAAUCACUCUAAAGAUCUCUUAAUCUCAUAUGGUAUCAGAGCCAGGUUCAUUUGAAUCUGGGGUUUGAUCUUUAGAGAGUUACAAGCUGAACGUCUUUGAAGCUACACGCGAGUAGUCUUGAAGGUGUUGAAGCUGUGGUUCGUUCUAGUUGAAGCUGUGCUACGUUCUGUGGGUUUGCGUGAUUCUAGACUCAAGGUUGGUGUGUACAAGAUCCAAGAUACAAGUUUUCAAGUCAAGCAAAGAUGGAACAGGGGAUGAACAUGAGGAUGAAGGUAGCGGUUACUUUCAAAGGUAGCAAC